UAGUGGCGGACGGGUGAGUAACGCGUGAGUAACCUGCCUUAUACGAGGGGGAUAACACUUAGAAAUAGGUGCUAAUACCGCAUAAGCGCACGGGGCUGCAUGGCCCAGUGUGAAAAACUCCGGUGGUAUAAGAUGGACCCGCGUCUGAUUAGCUUGUUGGCGGGGUAACGGCCCACCAAGGCGACGAUCAGUAGCCGGCCUGAGAGGGUGGACGGCCACAUUGGGACUGAGACACGGCCCAAACUCCUACGGGAGGCAGCAG
rnacentral:rRNA from 1 species